UGACUUUGACCUCAAAUCAGGUAGGGUUACCCGCUGAACUUAAGCAUAUCAAUAAGCGGAGGAAAAGAAACUAACAAGGAUUCCCCUAGUAACUGCGAGUGAAGCGGGAAAAGCUCAAAUUUAAAAUCUGGCGGUCUUUGGCCGUCCGAGUUGUAGUCUGGAGAAGUGCUUUCCGCGCUGGACCGUGUACAAGUCUCUUGGAACAGAGCGUCAUAGAGGGUGAGAAUCCCGUCUUUGACACGGACUACCAGUGCUUUGUGAUGCGCUCUCAAAGAGUCGAGUUGUUUGGGAAUGCAGCUCAAAAUGGGUGGUAAAUUCCAUCUAAAGCUAAAUAUUGGCGAGAGACCGAUAGCGAACAAGUACCGUGAGGGAAAGAUGAAAAGCACUUUGGAAAGAGAGUUAAACAGUACGUGAAAUUGCUGAAAGGGAAACGCUUGAAGUCAGUCGCGUUGAUCAGGACUCAGCCUUGCUUUUGCUUGGUGCAUUUUCUGGUUGACGGGCCAGCAUCGAUUUUGAUUGCCGGANAAAGGCUGGAGGAAUGUGGCACCUUCGGGUGUGUUAUAGCCUUCAGUCACAUACGGCGGUUGGGAUCGAGGACCGCAGCACGCCUUUAUGGCCGGGGUUUGCCCACGUUCGUGCUUAGGAUGCUGGUGUAAUGGCUUUAAACGACCCGUCUUGAAACACGGACCAAGGAGUCUAACAUGCCUGCGAGUGUUUGGGUGGUAAACCCGAGCGCGUAAUGAAAGUGAAAGUUGAGAUCCUUGUCAUGGGGAGCAUCGACGCCCGGACCUGAACUUCGGUGAUGGCUCUGCGGUAGAGCAUGUAUGUUGGGACCCGAAAGAUGGUGAACUAUGCCUGAAUAGGGUGAAGCCAGAGG
rnacentral:rRNA from 1 species